UCGAUCAAUAUCGAGCGAAAUGGCAGAUGGAACAGGAAGCAGACGUCCGUACAAAAACUACCUUGACCAAGAUGUAGAUCUAAUUGAUUUUGACGAAGAAGAUAGUUGUAAGCUUCUCCCUCGCAGUACAGCUCACAAUAGAAAAAGGAAGGCUAGUAGGCCUACUGUAGUCGAAACAGAUUCAGAAUUAGAGUCGGAUGAACUUGAUCUUGAGUCAAUGAUCUCCACAUGUAGCUCUAGCUCUACACCCACGACUAUUAACAUUAGGCACGAUCGAGAGGAUGAGCUCGACCAUGAAGAAGCUGAUCGUGAGCAUCAAGCUAACUUUGUUAGUGGCAGUGCACACGACAAUGCUGAAAACACAGACACCGGCCCCGACGAUCACGAUGAUGGAACUGAUCAUGGAGCUAUGCCCAUGGAUGGGGCAGUGCCAGUGGCAAUGGACCCAGUCCCAGAAUUGAUUGAAGAAGAAUCUCACAAUGUCCAUGAUGCAGGGCCUCUACAUGUACCUGAAGAAGGCGGCAUACUUGGUAUCAUUCUGGAUGAAUUUCAUCAGCUGCAGAAUGAAGCAGACGAGAGCGAUGGAGGUGAAUUUUCAGAGGUGGAAGAACCUGAAGCAGAUGCUGGACAAUGUGAACCAGAUGCUGGACACUGCCAAGAGGACGGAGGUAACAUUCACGUGCCAGGUGGUGAUGAACCAGUUUCAAGUGAAGGUAAUGACCUAACUAAAAUGGACAGUCUCCUGGCUGUUUUAAGUUUUGCUGUGAAUCAUCAUCUUUCAGGCGUGGGUCUUCAAGAUCUUAUAUCAUUAAUAAAUUUACAUUGUCCUAACACUCUGCCUUCUUCAAAAUACUUGUUUGGCAAUUCAACAACAGAUUACAGAGGUGUCUGUGAAUUCCAUUUCUAUUGUCAACUAUGUAAGCAAUAUGUUGGGAAACUCCAUGAUACUCCAGACAGUUGUCCAGAUUGCAAUGCAGCAUUUGACCAUAAUCAAAACAUGAGGAAUGGUACGUUUUUUAUGGUCUUGCCUCUCACUCAGCAGCUGAAGCAUUUGUUAGAACAUACUGAAGUAGGGGAGAAACUUGUUAAUAGAUUGCAACAGAAUAAUGAUCAAGUAGACAUUUCUGAUAUUGUAGAUGGUGAUCUUUAUAAGAAUUUUGCCAAAGACCACAUGCCCACCACAGAUGAUUUUAGUCUUUUGUGGAACACUGAUGGCGUACCCAUCUUUAAGUCGUCCAAGAGUUCCAUAUGGCCAGUCCUAUGUUCUAUCAAUGAACUACCAAUAAGAAUUCGGAAGGAUAAUAUUCUCCUAACAGCCCUAUGGUUCGGGGACGAGAAACCUAAUAUGAAGCUCUUUCUAAAACCAUUUGUGCAAGAGUGCAAUGCCUUGUCGAGCGUGGGCCUAGAGUGGCAGUUUAGGAAUGAAAAAAAAAGGUCCAAAGUCUUCUGUUUGAUGUGCUCUGUUGAUACCGUAGCUCGACCUUUGCUGAGGAACAUGGUCCAAUUUAAUGGAUAUUAUGGUUGUGGGUUUUGCCAACAGAAGGGAGAGUACUCACAUAAUGCCAUGAAAUAUCCAUAUGAAAACCCCCCUGCCCCAGAAAGAAAUGAGCGUCAGACACAAGAGCAGAGUGUUCUUGCGGAACAAACAGGAAGAAGUAUAGAGGGAGUUAAAGGCGUGAGCAUUUUAUCCUUUUUGACUUUUUUCAAUCUUAUUACUAGCUUUAUACCUGAUUACAUGCAUUCCGUUUGCCUUGGGACUGUUAAACGUAUAGUUAGUGCAUGGCUUGAUCCGAGCAACAGAAAUAAGGACUUUUAUAUAGGUACUAAGAAAGAGGAAAUAAACCAAAAAAUCAGAUGCGUAAAGGGAACAAAAGAAAUAACAAGGUUACCUAGGUCUCUUAAUAUGAUGAAAUUUUGGAAAGCAAACGAGUGGAGGGCUUUCAUUUAUUUUUCCCCUAUUGUAUUGAAAGGUAUCCUUCCAUCAAGAUACUUGGCACAUUGGUCAAUGCUUGUGUUGGCAAUCUUCCAUCUAAACUCGACUAAAAUUACUAGAGAAAGACUAGUACAAUGCAGAUUUUUGUUGAGGAAGUUUGUUUUAUUUGUGGAACCCCUUUACAGUAAGAAAGAACUCACAUUCAAUGUCCAUCUUCUUCUACAUCUGACUGACAGUGUUCAGAAUUGGGGGCCCUUAUGGGCAACUUCUGCCUUUUCUUUUGAAUCGUUCAAUGGUUUCAUGAAAAAGCUUUUUGCUGGCACAAGAUAUUUGCCUCAACAGAUAUUUCAGUCGAUGUGCCGAAUUCAGGAUCUUCAAUCCAACAUGGCCAGAAUAUCAUCGAAUGCCACUUAUGAAUAUAUUGCAAAUAUGAUGAGGGGACAUCAGUUACUAAAACAUGCACAAAGAAUUAGAUGUGGGCUAGAUGAAGUAGUUUUUCUAGGAUGUUCUAAAUAUUUGACUUUAACUCAGAUUUACAAGACUAUGCUAGAAGAUCUCUUGGGAGAGAAUCUGCUUAUUGACAGAGUGGAAUGUUUUGACAGAUUCAUUUUUAAUAACACACUUUUCACAACAAAAGAAUAUUCUUCGAAAUUCAGACGUAUUGAUUCGCUUAUUGGUAAUCUUGGUGGUAGUGUGUUUGAAGUACUUCAUCUGUUUGCCUUUCAAAAUCACAACUGUGUAAAUGUUAAUUGUGGAUGCACCCAACAUACUGUUGUUUUGGUGCAAAAACUGGAUGUGGUAAACAUGCUCACGUUUCAGGAUAGCUGUGAAAUAGGAUGCACUAUAGACUUUAUUACUGAGGUGACUAGGGGUGCCCUAAGUGUUAUGCAUUGUAGUGAUAUCUAUACUAAAUGCAUGUCAGUAAAGAUUGAUGCAACUGAAUAUGUUAUUUGUCUACCUAAUUUGGUUGAGGGGGAUUAAAGGUGACCUGUAUGUUGAAUACUGGCAGUGCCAUUGUAAUUUGAGAGAAACUGUCAUUGAGGUUGUAGCAACAACAGAAUUAUGAUGAAAUUCAAAAUUAGGAAUUCAACAUCUCAAAUACACACAUACAUGUAUGGGAUGAGAUGAAACCUGAUGAUGCAUAAUGAUUUGUUCCCAGUUAAAUGAUGGCAAUUCCUCUUGUGUUAAAUUACAUGUAUAUGAUUCAUGAUGAAUUACAGGUCAUUUUUUAAACCUCUAGUAAGGUAUUGCUGGGCCCUGUAAAAUGCAUUUGCUAGCAUUCUUAUAUUUUCAAGUUGAUGAAUAGGGAUAUACAUGUACUAAAAAUUCUUAAAAAGAAAUAAGCAAAUAAUAGUAAAAUAAUGACACCUGGUUGUAUUUCUGAAGUAGCUUCUGUUUUGUUUGUUUUUUAAUUUUUUUUGUUAACCUUGUCAAAUAUUUUCACAGAAAUAUUUCAGUAAAUAGCUUUUGUUAGGAUGUUGAUAUUUACAAGACAAAUGGGAUUACACAUUACAGGAUAGACUGAUUUACUUUUAAAACACUGACCGCCAUAACUUGGGGGCUUCCAAAUACAAAAGGAAAGAUUCUUCAGUGAGUCAGGUGCUAGUUGUGACAUCAGUGCACAACCUUUCUUUUAUUCAGCAAGCUUGAAGCCCCCCCCCCCCCCAUUAACACUGUAUGGCUGAUAUAGAUAUUAACAUAAAAAACAGCAACCAAACGAUCACUGUAUAUUUCUUUAGAUUAUUUUUUAAUAAUUGACAUUACUGUAUAUGUCCUUUUGGGUGAAAGAUUUUCAAUUAAAAUUCCUAUUGUUGUUUGGGAGAACCUAUGCCUUCUUCAAAUUCUUUUGAAAGCGAACAGACACAAAUACAUGUACAGAUAAAAAUUGAGGUCCUCAACUCCUCAUUUUAAUUUAUGGCUACUUUUAUGUACUUUUAUGUAUGCAAUUUAUGCACCUAUGCCAAGCCAACAUGUAUGUGUUCCUUUUGACGUUGCAAGUUCUUGCAAGUAUGCGCUGAUCACAGUGUUCAAGGUCUUAUUUACAUUGAUAGAAACUACUGUAAUGUCACCAUCGUCACUGUUCCUAUUAUUCUUGUCACUAUAGAUUGAAAAUUUGUUUGAUUUGGGGCUACAUUAUGAAUUUUUAAAACUAGCUGCGUGCAAGUCCUUAUAAUCAGACAAGAGACAGAACUUGCUGGACAUGUAAGAAAAUCGGUACAAAUUGAAUAGCCUUUUUGCUCUCAUGUACAUGUAGUAAUAGUUGUUAAAUGUUUUUAAGCUUAAAUAUGCUUGAGAUGAUAUGAUGCAUAUCUACCAUUUUCAUAUUAAACAAAAUUUGUGCAAAUUACAAAUAGGCCUGUGAACAUUGGAGUAAACUGUUGUUGUAGUCUUGUUUGAUUGUAUUCAUGCAGACUGUAAUUCUUUUAAUUUGUGAAGUUCAAUGCUCAGGUUACAAUUUUUAAGAGACAUUUUGAAACAUGGUCAAGAAUCAUGCAUUGAUAUAUUCAUAAUACUUUUACUUCAAAGCAUUAUUCCGCAAAUAAAAAAACAAUUGACUGUAUAUUUUAUAAUUUGGUCAAAGUCUAUCAGUUCGCUGUACAUGGACAAGACAGUUAUGUAUCCAUUCGAAUUUAAUUUAUUUCAGUAAUGGUGUAGUUUCAAUAAAAAAAAGUUUCACAGUACACAGACCAAAUUGAACACGCUUUUAUAACAAUCAACAUGAAAUGAUUUAUUCCAGUACAAAAAUAGUUCAAAUUGCACACUAUAAUUGUUAUAUACCAUGGGUUCCAUUUGAUAAAUUACAAAUCAUGGAUAUAAAAUGCAUUUAUUAAAAAGCUGCUGUAAAACCAU
rnacentral:lncRNA from 1 species